rfam:Candidatus Staskawiczbacteria bacterium RIFCSPHIGHO2_01_FTLL_34_27 rifcsphigho2_01_scaffold_31606, whole genome shotgun sequence.
GCCUAUGUAGCUCAGUGGCAGAGCAAUGCUUUCAUAAGGCAUGGGUCGCAGGUUCAAUUCCUGCCAUAGGCA